rnacentral:tRNA from 1 species
GGGGGCGGAAGGGCCGCUGGUGGGCCCCCGGUCUUCAAAACCGACGGGGACGGCGCUCCCGUCCUGGUGUGUUCGAUUCGCACCCGCCCCGCCA